rnacentral:rRNA from 1 species
CAAAGGCCUGGUCCCGACCUUACUGUCUGCUUUAGCCUAAUUUACACAUGCAAGUAUCCGCACCCCCGUGAGAAUGCCCUUCAGUCCCCUGCCAGGAGACAAGGAGCAGGUAUCAGGCACCCUAUGAUUCGCCCACGACACCUUGCUUAGCCACACCCCCAAGGGAACCCAGCAGUGAUAGACAUUAAGCCAUGAGUGAAAACUCGACUCAGUCAAGGCUAAGAGGGCCGGUAAAACUCGUGCCAGCAACCGCGGCUAUACGAGAGGCCCAAGUUGACAGAUUCCGGCAUAAAGCGUGGUUAAGAUAAACUAAAAACUAAAGCCGAACGCCCUCCGGGCUGUUAUACGCUCCCGAAGGUAAGAAGCCCAAUUACGAAAGUAGCUUUACAUUACUGAACCCACGAAAGCUAGGGCACAAACUGGGAUUAGAUACCCCACUAUGCCUAGCCCUAAACACUGACAGCCCCUUAUACCCGCUGUCCGCCUGGGAACUACGAGCAUCAGCUUAAAACCCAAAGGACUUGGCGGUGCUUUAGAUCCACCUAGAGGAGCCUGUCCUAGAACCGAUAACCCCCGUUUAACCUCACCCCUCCUUGCCAAAUCCGCCUAUAUACCGCCGUCGUCAGCUUACCCUGCGAAGGAUCAAUAGUAAGCAAAACUGGCACAGCCCAAGACGUCAGGUCGAGGUGUAGCAAAUGGAGGGGGAAGAGAUGGGCUACAUUCCCUUUGUACAGGGCAUACGAAUGAUCACAUGAAACGUGUAUCUGAAGGAGGAUUUAGCAGUAAGCAGGAA